rnacentral:rRNA from 1 species
GAUGAACGCUGGCGACGUGCUUAACACAUGCAAGUCGAACGAAGCACUUUAUUUGAUUUCCUUCGGGACUGAUUAUUUUGUGACUGAGUGGCGGACGGGUGAGUAACGCGUGGGUAACCUGCCUUGUACAGGGGGAUAACAGUUGGAAACGACUGCUAAUACCGCAUAAGCGCACAGUAUCGCAUGAUGCAGUGUGAAAAACUCCGGUGGUAUAAGAUGGACCCGCGUUGGAUUAGCUAGUUGGUGAGGUAACGGCCCACCAAGGCGACGAUCCAUAGCCGACCUGAGAGGGUGACCGGCCACAUUGGGACUGAGACACGGCCCAAACUCCUACGGGAGGCAGCAGUGGGGAAUAUUGCACAAUGGGCGAAAGCCUGAUGCAGCGACGCCGCGUGAGCGAAGAAGUAUUUCGGUAUGUAAAGCUCUAUCAGCAGGGAAGAUAAUGACGG